UACAGAGGGCUCAAGCGUUGUUCGGAUUCAUUGGGCGUAAAGGGCGCGUAGGCGGCGGGGUCAGUCGGGUGUGAAAUCUUGGGGCUUAACCCCGAAACGGCACUCGAAACUGCCCGGCUGGAGGGCCGGAGAGGAGAUCGGAAUUCACGGUGUAGCAGUGAAAUGCGUAGAGAUCGUGAGGAAGACCCGUGGCGAAGGCGGAUCUCUGGACGGCUAACUGACGCUGAGGCGCGAAGGCCAGGGGAGCAAACGGG
rnacentral:rRNA from 1 species